ensembl:lncRNA
ACAAAAAGCACUUGAAACUCGGUCCAUCAACGAUACUUCAGGGCCCUGAUGACAUAAGAAAAAACAAGAGUUAGGAGCAUUUGUCUCCUUUGCAUCAGAGUGCCUCUCUGGCACAUGGGGUUCAAGACCACCGGCGGGCAAGGACAGGGUGGAGGAGAACAAGAGCAACUCAAGACCAAGAUGCUGAGCAGAUCCAUUUUAUUGUUUUACAUCAGUCACAGAGUACCCUUUAAGAAAAUACUGCGAGGAGUAACUUAGGGAAGUUUUCCUAAGGAAGUGAGAGUAGACAUAGAAUCCAAGUCCAUGGAAGGGGAUUCAGAAGAAAAUUUGAGUUUCUGAGCCCCAGGGAGGGUUCAUUGUCUUUGCAAGUUCAGAGUCUUCUACAGGACCUCUCAGGCCCUGCAGCCAAUGAAGGAGGAUAAAGAUGAUGUCCGCAGCAGUGUGCUGUCCCCAGGUUGGAUCUUGUAGACUCAGAGACAUCUUCAGCAGCAGCCGCCUCCAUAGGACUGACCACUCCCCUCUCCGCAACACCCGGAGCCCCCCGAGGGCUGGCUGCAGCAGUCAGACCUGUGGGGUCUGCAGUGGUGGGACCUGCGGCGCCUGUGGUGGCUCAGGCAGCAGCCCCCACACCCAGAGCUGCAGCAGCCCCCGGAGCUGGGGCCCAAGCAGCCCUCGGAGCUGACACCGCAGCAGGAGGAGACUGGGGGGCACUUUGGGGGGCAUUUAGGGGUAGGGCACUUGGGGACGCACUUGGGAGGAGGCUGGCACUGCUGCUGGUUCUGCUGGCAGGACAUCUUGGUGGGCAGGUUCAGGAGCUGAGGGAGAGAGACAGCAGGUCAGACCAGCACACAGAGACCUCCCUGUCCCUUCCUGACUUUUCAACAUCAUUUCUAACAUGUAUGUUUAAACAACUUGCCUCUGUUAUUAUUUUAAUGUCUUAUCAACUAUUCUCAUAGCAUCUCCUUUGAAUCUCAUCUUAUCCUUUUUAAAGUAGGAAGGGGUCAUAACCUAUUUUACCAAUUUGAAAAUUGACAUUAAAUGAUAUUUUUAAAAAAAAUUGUUUUCACUUAUCUCAUUCAAAUACUGAAAUUGUUCUACAGAGAUGAACUUAGAACGGAAAUAUUUUCUUUAUGGAAAAAAGUCAUGUUAGCACCCUAAAUAAUUUCAUUUUUUGAAAUUUACAACUUCAGAUUAGAAAGGGAUCUGAGGAAUAUCCUGGCUGGCUCUCCUUGUUAGAGAGAACGAUGAGAGUUCCCUUGACUCAGAUCCUGACCUAUAAUGGCCUCAGAAACACCUCUUACACCAUCCUUAGCCUAGAAAUUAUUAAACUUCUUGUGCUUUUUCACCUCUAGAAGUGUACAAUGCAUUCCCAGGCUCUGUCCUUACCCACGUGUAUAAUAAUCUCCCAGAGUGCCUCUAAUCCUCUCCUCACUCUGACAAUUGCUCUAAUCAUACCAGAGGAUACAGUAUCUCUAGAAGGUAAACUCCCUUUCUGAGAUCUGUUCCAGAAUAUCAGAGCAGCCAGUGGUUUCCUUCUUUCAUCCUGGGAGUUCCCCCUCCACAAAGCUGCAGAUCUUUGGGUCCCUCCCAGUGUCCUUAGCCAUCACUAAACUCCUAUCAUUCUCCCUGUCUUCCUGCCUGCUCCUGGUUCCUUCUGUCCUUCCAGGGUUUCUCUCUCUCUCUCUAAUAAUAUGGGCCACAUCCCCCAAGGUCCUGCUCCCUGUCCUCCCCUCUGGUCUGAGCAUCCUCUGUGGAAGGCCCUGGUCCCACUCCCAGUGGACACUCACCGGUGCACACACAGCACAGAGUCGUCAGCACCUCAGGAGAGGAGUGGAUGGAGGUGCUCUGUCCCAGGGCCCUUUUAUCCCGGCCUUGGGCUCUGCCCUCAGAUGUGAAACAGGGCCUGAGCGUGAGAGGACCGCCUCCUGCCACCCACGUGGCUCCUGUGACAGGUGAUGACUGGCAGCUCCUCCCUGCCUCCUUCCAUGGGGCUCAGGGCAUCCCCAGCACCAGUGCUCCCUCCUUCUCCUUACGGCUUCCUGUCCCUCAUACCUUCCUCUGGGAAUUGGCCUCCCAAGCCCUCCUGUCCUAGUUCUCUGAUGGUCUGCCUUGAACUAAGACUCAUGGAGCCUCCAAGGGUCUCUGCUUACGUCCCAGCCCCCUAGGCCCAUCCUGUGUGUGUGGAUGUUCGUGUCUGUGCUGUUCCUGUUAAAAGCCUGGAUUGGGAGUGAGACCCAUCUGGGACAGAACUCCUGGUCCUGACACUCAGCUAUGUGAUCUUAUGAAAAUCACCUAACCUUUCUCAUUCUGUUUCCUCAACUUUAAAAUGGUUGAGAAAAACUAUUCUCGAUGGAGUCAUGAGAGUUAACAGAAUCAUAGAAGUAAAAUGUCUGCAAAAGGUCCGAUAGCACAUCGUGUGUGCGUGCUCAGUCCUGUCCGACUCUUUGCAAUCCCAUGGACUGUAGGCCACUAGACUCCUUUAUCCAUGGGAUUAUCUCAGCAAGAAUACUGCAGUAGGUUGCCAUUUUCUCCUCCAGCAGAUCUUCCUGAUCCAGGGAUCAAACCUGUGACUCCUGUGGCUCCUGCACACAUUGGAUCCUCACAAAUGAGCAAAUAUCAAAUUAUCCAUUGAUAAUUAAAAGAGAAAGUUUAUUUUAAAAGACAGCUCUUUCCUAGGAUACAUACAUCUGACUUUUUAAAUGACCAGUUUUUUCACCUGAGCUUUUUUGUGCAUUUUCAUAAAACAAUAUCCCUGUUGAGUGACUAGGGAGUAAAUCUGCAUUGCCUUACGUAGUAGAAUGAGAAUUUGUUUUUCAAGAAUCUUACACAGCGAAAGCUGUGAGCUGGUGGACCAGAAAGCAACAAGAAGAGACAAUGAGAGGGCUCAGCCCUGGGGCACAGGCAGAGGGGCUGGGACCCAUUGAAACGUGUGCCCAGGUGGAGGAAGCAGGAGGUCUUGGGGUUCAGUAGGAAUCUCCAGCGUUACCUCUGUUGCUGCAAGAACCCAAGGGUUCCUUCAAGGGUGUUUGUAUAUGCACAUUUUUACAAGAUUAAGAUAAGGGCUAAUGUCAGUUUGGUAGGUAGGAGGUGAGCCUUCCAUGUGUAGAAGGCAACAUCACAAAAAAACUAAACAAAUUAAUCAGAUGAAAGGAAAUCAGAGCUAGGAUUAAUUAUGGAAAGAAAACAUUCUUUCUGGAAGUGUCCAAAAUAAUUUUUUGGAGUAGAAUAAGAUGUGAAUUGAGUCAAUAAUAUCUAUAUCAAGGUCAUAAUGGAUAAGGAUAACCAAUAUCUGGUGAAAUGUAUACAUGUGCACAGGCAUAGGGGGUUUAGAUUGACUUAGAUUGACUAUAUUUUUAAAAUUGUGGUAUAAAACCUUAUAGACUGAGAUAGAGAUGCAGAUACAGCCUCAGAUACAGAUAUAGGUGCAGAAUCUACCCUCCUUAUCAUUCUCAGCACCAGAUAUGAAAAGGUGGAUGGCCUCCACUGAUGAAUCACUGCCUCCCAUCUGCUAGGAUUUCUCCUUGACUCCAGUCUUCACUGGGAUACAAGUAUGUUCUCCCUCCACCAUCCCACACUCUAGGAAUCAUUACAUCUGCCCUUUAAGGAAGCCUCAUUCAGGGCUCCACACUGUGUUCAUGAUUGAAGUUAUCAUUUUUGACUGAUAUGCAAGGCUCUCUGUAAUAUGACUUUGUGCAACUACUCCAAUUUCUGUUUUUCUUCCCAAGAUUU